ensembl:lncRNA novel transcript
AGUGCCUGCGCGGCUUGCUCCAGCAAGGUAAAAUUUCCCACUGCGAGGCAGGCAGUGAUGCUGCGGCCGCUUCGCACUGUGGCUCCUGCCGACCGCCAGGCGCUGUUACAGUGGAUGCGAACUAACCAUGCAGCAGCAGCCGGAACCCACAGUUCACCUUGGUGCAUUCCUUUAUGAUGAAGACUUAUUGAUUCAUUAUAUGAGAAAGGAAAAAUGAGCAGAAACUACUGUAUGAUGUGCAGCUCACACCAGACAGCAACUUUAGAGUAAUUUAUCCCUACUUACAGAGAGAUUGCCCUACGUGUAACAGCUGCAUACAAAAAAGUUAUAAAAUUAUCAUUGGUUUAACAAGGAUAAGUGAAAAACAUUAAAAUUCUCCAACUGAACAAGGUGUGUCUGUUUCAUUGAUUGGCUGACUGUCAAAUCGGAAUCUGAUCUGCCCCAUUGACAAUGCCUUGGGCUUUUCCUCGGCCAUGGCAAAUGCCAGAGUCUUCUCAGCUGCCGCUUCACAAAAGAGGUACCAGCUUCUCACUGAACGAACACAGUGCAGCACCAGGAGUGACAGAAGAAGGAGGCGGCAGCGGUGGUUGAGGGACAGGGUGCGUGCACGUCCAAGUACAGUUCUUAAAAUGUUGAGGGCAUACAACAUAUGCUCAAUAAAUACCUGAUUUUUAAAAAAGACAA